UUUGGUUUGUGUUUUGGAGUCAAAUAUUACUAGAUGUCAUGUGUAUGAGUGAGUAUGACAACUAGAACCAUAACCGGAUCUUAAAAACCUAAGUAUUAAAUCUUUGUUAGAAGAUACAAAGACAAAGACUCAUACGGACUUUAACUACACUAUCAAAGCUUGGAGAAGCAAGAAGAAGCUUGGUUAGUGUUUUGGAUUCGAAUAUGACUUGAUGUCAUGUGUAUGACUCCGUAUAAAAACUAGAACCGCAACAGAUCUUAAAAGCAUAAGUAUUGUAUCAUUGUUAGAAGAUACAAUGACGAAGACUCAUAUGGACUUCGGCUAAACCAUCAAAGCUUUGAAAAGCAAGAAGCAGUUGGUUAGUGUUUUGGAGUCAAAUAUGACUUGAUGUCAUGUCUAUGAGUGAGUAUAAAAACUAGAACCGCAACGGAUCUUAAAAGCCUAAAUAUUGUAUCCUUGUUAGAAGAUACAUAGACAAAGACUCAUACGGAAUUCGGCUAAACCAUCAAAGCUUUUAGAAGCAAGAAGAAGCUUGGUUAGUGUUUUGGAGC
rnacentral:sRNA from 1 species